CCCUUGCCAACUCCGCCGCGGGGGCCCCCUCCGCAGCCCGGCGCCCGGGCGGCCGGCAGGCACGGGGAAGGGGCCGCCCGGGCCCGGGGGCAGGCGGGCAUGACCUCGGCCCGGCGCGGAGGUUGGCGAGUGGUGCAGAGGCGGCCGCCGGGGGAGCUGCCGGCCCGGGCUGCCGAGAGAGCGGGGAGCGGGCGGGACCGCGGAUGCCGGCAGCUGCUCGCGCGGCCGGCGGGGGCCCGGGGUGCCCGGGGAGGAGAGGCGGCGGGCAGGUGGGCGUGAAACCGUUCCCCUCCCCGCCGGGGAGGCGCAGCCAGAGGGUGACUUCAGGAGCCCCCUCGGAGAGGCAGGCAGCGCGGUUUUCAGGUGACCUGCACAGGGCAAGAAAAGCCAGUUAGCAUCCUGCGUCCUCUAUCUCCAUUCCAUUUGCCUCGAGAACAAAUCCAUUAUGCAUCAUUUUCUCCGGGCGCUUUCUCCAUGCGCCAAUUACGGGGGGGAUUUAACAGCUUAGAGUAAAAUGCGCCCGAAUGUGGCCCUGAUCUGAGCCAGGACUGCAGGGGGGGAAUAUUCCCUCUCCCUAUCCCCAUAGCCAUCUUUCGGCGUCUGGGAUAAAGUUACAGUACCUGGAGAGCAGCUGCGAGUUUGUAUAGUUCUGCUACCCAUGCUCAGACCUCGAUUCCCCACCGUGGUCUCUCUCCCACAAGGGGUUUUCAGUAUUUUGCUCUAUGUACAUCCUUCCAAAAGGGGAUAUUAGUGCCCAGACGGCCCAGGGGUGCAUAACAUAUCAGAGGAAACAGCUUGUAAUGACUCAGCACUGUCAAAUACCUACUCAAAUACCCCGCGCAGGUGGUCCCAACUUGAGUUAGACUCUGAGUGCACGUCCAGACCCAAGUACAGCCCUGCCUACACGGGAGAAUAUUUUUGUUUUCGGAGUGUACAGUGUUAAAUCAUUACUUGGUGAUUGACCUGCGACUGAAAUCAAAUGUCUGAGACUUUGAGUGUGGGUGGACAAGUUUGAUGGAGAUAGAAUUGGACAAGAUUUUGGCUGUUGGAUAAGGGCAUCUACAGACAGAAUCGUGCUCUUUCUGAUGUACCAGUAAUCCCUCCUUCCUGGCCUUGGGGUCCAGUUAAUGAGAUCCAGACUGCUGGGGCAGGGCAUCAUUCAUAAAUGGACUCCAAAGACUCGGGGGCUUGCAGUCCAGAGGAACUAUAAGCAGGUGUGGUCUCUAGUGUGGGGUGAAGUCAGUUUCGAGGUUAUGAGAGCGGGUUGUUCAAGCUCAGCUCUCUGUGGUGUGCAUCUCUGUUCUAUAAAAUGCACUUUUUCUGUAGUUACAGUUCAGGCAGUAUUUGUGGCCCGUGGAGUUUUGAGGUAGGGAUAACUGUCUUGGGGGGCGGGGGGUCCGUUUAUCAGAGCUUUCAUGGAGGGAAUUUGAUUGUUAAGAUCUUAAAAUAGGUAUAUGUAUUACCAAGAUGCAAAUGCACAGUAAGAAAAUAUUUAUAGGUCUGUACUGGGAGCAUAUGCAAAGUAUGUACUACCUGACCUGGUCUGGGUUUGGGGAGGUAUUUAGUAUAUCCACAGCUGUCUUCAGUUUCACAGUUUGGUGGCCCUAGACCACCAAGCAGAGUGCAGUAUUCAUGUGUGGCGAACAGCAACAGAACUUUUCACACCGUGAAUUAUAAAGGAAGGCACGGGCUUAGUUUUAGCUUGCAGUGAUCUAAGGGUCUUAGAACGGAAUGAGGCUGGGCUUCAGCCAGAUGAGUAGCCUAAGCUCCUUUAGAAAGUUGAGAAGCAGAGGGCUGAUGGCGAGGCAGAUAUAUAGAGGCAGGGCUGGCACCAGGAGAUAGAACGUUGACUCGAAUCCCAGAAUAGGCCAGUGGCAGGCAGCUGAGGAAGUCAGUCCACCUUGGGGGGGGGGUGGCGGGGGGGGGUGCUGCUUACCGUUUCAUCCUGGGUUGAGAGAAAGCUUAGUUCAGAGAGCUAGGGUAACAGGAGUCAACAGGUGACCGGCAGAAAGGAGCUGGAGGCCCAGCAGAGGACAGGCCUAGGAAAUUAAAUUCAUUUUGGUUACUAGGAGUGGAGGUAUAAGGUGCUCAGGGCUCAGCCUUGCCCAGCUGCCCUGGACUGUCCAUUGCCAUCUGAACCUCAUGAAAAUAGAUAGUUUGCUUGCCAGGCUUGACCGAAUCCGCUUGCUAUGGGUUUUACUCUUCUGGGCCGCUGGGGAGUUGGCUGUUCAUCUGUUAUUUUGGAGGUGGAAUAAAAAGUUUGUUAUUCCUUCAGCUGUGUGAGACUUCUUUAUGGAUAACUGGGGAAUGAAGCAUUGUAGGAUGUUUGCAGGAGAAGCAGAUUUCUCCCUGUUUAAUUCAUCAUGGCUUUCUUGAGAAACCCGAGCGGCUGUACCCGGGGUCGGUGUGCAGGGUGUGUGUUGUAUGUGAUCUUGGCAUUGGCAAUCAGCCCAUCCCUCUGAUGUAGCAUUUUCAGAUACCCGAGGAAGGGCACACUUUGGGACAUGGCCAGCAAUGCUUGCUUCGGGGGUGGGGGGCGGGGGACAUGAUCAAAAGUUCUGUGGCAGCGAUGGUAUUUCCUAUUUGAUCCCAAUAGUGCACGUUUUCAUUUUGUCUUUUUUUAAAAAACAUUUGGAGGCUUCAUUUCAUUUCUCUGUUUACUUUCUGGAAAGGCAGAUUGCCCGUGUCUUCAGUGACACUGGUGUAGGCUUCCCAACUGCAGAACUGAAGGAGGAAGUUGCCUGUGAUUUGAGAAGCAACUUUGAAAAGCAGGACUCUGCGUGUGUUAGUGUGUGAGUGUGUGCGCGAAUGCAUGCACCGUCCCUCAAGAACCUGCCUAAGGAGGAAACCCAAGGGAGACUUGUGUAUGAGACAAACACUAAUUGUUAAGCUGGGCAGGGGACCAGCAGCUUUUUGCCUGGGUGUGUGUAUGUGGGGGGGGGGUCUCUCAGGAGAGUGCAGAAGACUGUUGGCCCACCCCCCCUUGUAGAGAUAAGGUAAUCAUGCAACCCCAGGCCAGCUGUGGAUUCUGAAAUCUGUUACACUUGCAAGUGUUUCAACCUGAAAUUAUGCUUCAGAUCAGCCAACAGUCACAGGGAUGUUCUUUCAUCGUUCCCGAAACAGCCUGAUGGGCCACAAAAUAAUUUCUGUAGCAGAAUAGAGACCUGUCCGGUUUGAUCGGCGUGGCGUGCUGGGUCAAGAAUGUGAUUUUCCUUUACUUGGGCCUCGGCUUCGGGUGGCUCCAGUCUGAACUGACCUACUUGCAAGGAUGUGACAUCUGCUGAGGUCUCGGGCCCUUUCGAGAAGGCGUAGGCACGUGGGAACCACUUGGAGAGAAAGUCAGAGGGUGCGCGCUGCCUGGUGGCGCGUGGAGACCCCCUGAGAUGUUUGCAGCCAUUUGUGGACGGUCGCCCUGCGGGCAGAGGUUCGCGUCCAUUCUCAGACUGCCGAGGACUGGAGUGGAUAAGGCUGCGUGCAGGAAAUGAAAGCCUCUGACCCCUCUGGGUGGUUGUGAUUGAGGCUCUCCUACAAAGGCAUUUGAGUUUCUUCAGGUUGAAAACUUCAGAUUGCAGGAGGAGUCUCCAGGGUGGGGUGUGCUGGUGGGGUCUCUGACUCUUGGGGGGACUAGGGGGUUGAGAGGGCUGGGGGGGCGGUGGGCAUUUGCUGAUUGAGAAUUUUGCACACCCUGAGACUGAGGUUGUGGGGAGGAGGUAACAAGCCAGAGACCUGAGUGCAUGUCACAAAGCUCCUUCUCACUGCCUGAUAGUCCCUUUUUAAAAAUUUUCGGCCGGAGCGAAGCUUGAGUGACUGGUAAGUGAGACUGUUGGAUUUCAUAUUCUUUCUUCUUCUUCUUUUUUUUUCAAUCUCUCAGGAAGCAUCAUUUUGAAGAGGGGUAUUUGCAUCUCUUCCCCAGAAGCAGACAGCUGAGUGACAUUUUUAAAGUCCUUGUCAAAUUAGUAUGAUGACUAAGGCUACUGUAUUUUACUUAAUCAAAUUAUUUUACACACUUAUGAUUGCUCAAAGUGACAAAUUUUCUGCCAUUUGCAUAAUUACUGGAUAGCCCCAGGUAGUGAGAAAUACAAUUACCAUGAUAUUUUUUUUCCUUGCUGUUUGGUUGCAAAUGUUUAGCUAAUAAUUAUUUAGGGGAAAAAACGAUUUCUUAAAAUUCCUUUCAGCCAGCUUUGUGUACAUAGCUUAGUUUCUGGAGGGGUUUUUCUCUUGUGCGGUUAACAACCCGGGAAGUGCAUCAGUUGUGAAGCGAGCGCGAUCUCUUUUCCUGAAUUUUGUAACUCUCCCGCAUUUCCAUUUUAGAUUCCUUACAGAGAGGAUGACCCAGAGGCCUCUCCACGGAGAGACUGCCUUACUAAUCAGAUGCCCAGCAUGUAAACGCAUCUCCUUGCCUGCUGUUGGAAUGACAUACAUGUUCUUGGACAGGGUUAUGUACGCCAAAUAUUGAAUGCUGUCCGUUUGGGAAGAUGUUAAAGGACGUUUCAGUGGUAAUUUUCAUUGUCUGGCUUAAACACGGAUUUAACUGGAGACCAGUCACCUAUGUUCUGUUCCCCUUCAGAAAUGUUUUUGGCAGUCUGUAGGCACAAAGAUAGCAUCCUUGUUCUUGUCACUUAGCUUUGCUUUCUGUUUCUAUACGUGCAUCUACAAAAUAGAUAAUAAACCGGAAAAAAGGAGUGGGAUCACUGAUGUUGGUUCACAGGAGAAGUGUGAAUUGGUAUGGGUUGAGAAACUUGUAUUUUAUGAAACUUAAGUGUUUCUGUGUUCAUGUAACAGGCAGGAUUGCUGGAUGGUUAAAGCUCCCAGUUAAAGGGUGAAAAUUCCGAGACGGAGACUGACAGCACCUGUGGCAGCCGUGGCUCAGUGGGGGUGAGCUUCAGAAGACCUGGGGUUCACUCCCGUGUUCUCCCCUUCUCAGCUCUGUGUUCGUAGGCUGAUGACUUAGCCUCUCUGUGUGUUGGGUUUUUAUUUUAAAGCCGGGAUCAUGAUCGUACAUACCCUCAUAACGCUGCUGUGAGAACUCACGGAGUCGGUACUUGUAAAGCACUUUGAACACUAACUGGCUCACAGUGCUUGAUGUAUACUAGCUAUUCAUAAUGACCUGGUUCUGUGUAUUUACUGCAGACCUUCAGUUUGUAGCCCCAACAAAUGAGAAAUAAAGUUAUUUCAAUCAAG